UCCAUAUGUGAAUCCUAUGCUGAGGAUC
rnacentral:sRNA from 1 species